rnacentral:tRNA from 1 species
GGAGGCAUAGCCCAGUUGGUUAGAGCGCAUGCUUGACAUGCAUGAGGUCACAGGUUCAAGUCCUGUUGUCUCCACCA